rnacentral:rRNA from 1 species
CCCCUACGGGAGGCAGCAGUGGGGAAUAUUGGACAAUGGGCGCAAGCCUGAUCCAGCCAUGCCGCGUGAGUGAUGAAGGCCCUAGGGUUGUAAAGCUCUUUCACCGGUGAAGAUAAUGACGGUAACCGGAGAAGAAGCCCCGGCUAACUUCGUGCCAGCAGCCGCGGUAAUACGAAGGGGGCUAGCGUUGUUCGGAAUUACUGGGCGUAAAGCGCACGUAGGCGGAUCGUUAAGUGAGGGGUGAAAUCCCAGGGCUCAACCCUGGAACUGCCUCUCAUACUGGCGAUCUUGAGUUCGAGAGAGGUGAGUGGAAUUCCGAGUGUAGAGGUGAAAUUCGUAGAUAUUCGGAGGAACACCAGUGGCGAAGGCGGCUCACUGGCUCGAUACUGACGCUGAGGUGCGAAAGCGUGGGGAGCAAACAGG